GGCUCCGUGGCGGGUGGACCGCGUCUGCAGUUCUUAAACGGUAAAGAGGAGUUUGCAGAAGCUGCCUGUUCGAAUCAGGCCGGAGCCU